GGGGUGCAUGUGCUGGACAAGAAGUGUCUGAACAGGGGGGUCCAGGGCGGACAGUAAGCGCCUCAAUGGCCAGAGGGUCCUCUACUCCACCGCCCUGGAGUCCAUCCAAGGGGACGGCAAGGUUGCAGAUCCAGUGGCCGAUGACACAAUGGGUGGAAUUCCAGCUAAACACAAAGAUGAGAAGCUGCUGAUCUUAGGGAUCAUUGACAUCCUCCAGUCCUACAGGUGAGAGCUUUUUGUGGAACCACUGUCAUUUCCAUCAAGAAAAACGUAUCAAUGUUACACAUAAUUUAUCUUUGUAAUGCCUGUGCUUCUUUAAGGUUCAUCAAGAAGGUGGAGCACUCCUGGAAAGCCCUCGUACACCAUGGGGUAGGCUACAGUGUGUGAUUAUAUUCCAUUUUGCUCUCAUUGUGGCCUGACACCUGUGUUUCAGGAUACAGUAUCAGUUCACAGGCCCGGUUUCUAUGCAGACAGAUUUUUGAAGUUCAUGGGCGGCACUGUAUUCAAAAAGAUCCAUCGUAAGUGACUUUCACUUAAACACACUCAAUAUGACCAUAUUUCCCCAUUCCCUUCGUAAUUUCACUAAUGCUCUCUGUUUCUCUCUCUCCCACUCUCUCUCAGCUCUAAGGAGCAUCCUCCAAGAGGAAGAGGAGCUCCAUUCAUGCGAUGAGGUCAGCCUCCCAGAAGUUACUGUCCCCCCCAAAAGGAGGAGAAGAAGGACGAGAGAGAGGCCCAAAGCAUGGAGAGCUUGGGUGGACAAUGUAGUCACCCUUUAUUUAAAAAAACGACACAACCCACAAUCUAUUGGGCCUGUACACGUCAUGCACUCUCUGCUUUAUCCAUUGACUUUUUUUGUAUUUCUCUGUUUUGUUCAACAGUAAUGAGUUCAUUCAAGCACCCUGACCUAGUCCUACUCCCUAAAUGUUUAAAUCAGGCUGUUUCCUCAUCCUCCUUCACUCUUGAGAAGAUCAAGAAAGACCUUGAGGAGCACCUUGAGGAGCACCUGGAGAAUAGUGAUAACCAUUGUGACUCCAAUGCAAAUGUGGCCCUGGAUGACACUGUCCCCUCUCCCCAUACCCAGGGCAGCCCAGACUCUACGCAAUGUCUAAUGUGAAGACGGGUGGAAGAAGAUGAAGAGUCCCUUCCCACAGCAUCACUAAAUAGAUAAUGAUCUCUUUAAACAUCAACUGCACAUAAAAACACUUGUGACAGUGCUCCAAUACAGACUGUCCUGCCUUUUGAGGUCAUGACCUGCACUGUAAAGCAGCUUUCUCCUGCUACCAUACACUUUGCUGCUACUUUAAAAUCAGGGACAAUCCUAAGGUUUUUGAAUGGAGAUUACUAGCAACAGUCACCUUGUGGAACAUGCCAAAUCACUUCUAUUCAAUGCUUCUCUAGCAAAGCUCUAUUUGUAUGUACAUCCAUAUGAUUGAUUGAUUAUGGAUUUUAAUGUUGAAAUAUCACUAACAAUGUUCAAAUCUCUGAGGCAGGAUUACU
rnacentral:lncRNA from 1 species